rnacentral:rRNA from 1 species
UCGGGAAUAUUGCGCAAUGGAGGAAACUCUGACGCAGUGACGCCGCGUAUAGGAAGAAGGUCUUCGGAUUGUAAACUAUUGUCGUUAGGGAAGAAAAAGGACAGUACCUAAGGAGGAAGCUCCGGCUAACUACGUGCCAGCAGCCGCGGUAAUACGUAGGGAGCAAGCGUUAUCCGGAUUUAUUGGGUGUAAAGGGUGCGUAGACGGGUUAAUAAGUUAGUUGUGAAAUCCCUCGGCUCAACUGAGGAACUGCAACUAAAACUGUUAGUCUUGAGUGUUGGAGAGGAAAGCGGAAUUCCUAGUGUAGCGGUGAAAUGCGUAGAUAUUAGGAGGAACACCAGUGGCGAAGGCGGCUUUCUGGACAAUAACUGACGUUGAGGCACGAAAGUGUGGGGAGCAAACAGG